rnacentral:rRNA from 1 species
UACGUAGGGAGCAAGCGUUUGUCCGGAAUCAUUGGGCGUAAAGCGCGCGUAGGUGGCUUCGUAAGUCCGUUGUGAAAGUCAAAGGCUCAACCUUUGAAAGCCGAUGGAUACUGCGGAGCUAGAGUACGGAAGAGGCGAGUGGAAUUCCUGGUGUAGCGGUGGAAUGCGCAGAUAUCAGGAGGAACACCAGUGGCGAAGGCGACUUCCUGGCCUGUUCUUGACGCUGAGGCGCGAAAGCUAGGGGAGCAAACGGG